UACGGGGGGGGCAAGCGUUGUUCGGAAUUACUGGGCGUAAAGGGCUCGUAGGCGGCCAACUAAGUCGGAUGUGAAAUCCCCAGGCUCAACUUGGGAACUGCAUCCGAUACUGGAUGGCUUGAAUUCGGGAGAGGGAUGCAGAAUUCCAGGUGUAGCGGUGAAAUGCGUAGAUAUCUGGGGGAAUACCGGUGGCGAAGGCGGCAUCCUGGACCGACAUUGACGCUGAGGAGCGAAAGCUAGGGGAGCAAACGGG
rnacentral:rRNA from 1 species